rnacentral:rRNA from 1 species
CCUACGGGGGGCAGCAGUAGGGAAUAUUGCUCAAUGGGGGAAACCCUGAACCAGCAACGCCGCGUGAGGGAUGAAGGUUUUCGGAUUGUAAACUCCUUUUGGUCGAGAAGAUAAUGCCGGUCUUUACCGACUAAGCACCUGCUAACUCCGUGCCAGCAGCCGCGGUAAUACGGAGGGUCCAAGCGUGUCUCGGCAUCACUAGCGGUAAACAGCGCGUAGGCGGGAUAGCAAGGCAGAUGUGAAAUGCUAUGGCUUAACCAUAGAACUGCAGUUGAAACUGUUAUUCUAGAGUAUGGGAGAGGUAGGUGGAAUUCGUGGUGUAGGGGUAAAAUGCGUAGAGAUCAAGAGGAAUACUGAUUGCGAAGGCGGCCUGCUAGAACAUAACUGACGCUGAGGCGCGAAAGCGUGGGGAGCAAACAGGAUUAGAUACCCCUGUAGUC